rnacentral:rRNA from 1 species
UACGAAGGGGGCGAGCGUUGUUCGGAAUUACUGGGCGUAAAGCGCACGUAGGCGGCUUGGUAUGUCGGGUGUGAAAUCCCCGGGCUCAACCUGGGAACUGCAUCCGAAACUGCCUUGCUCGAGUAUGGGAGAGGGAAGUGGAAUUUCCGGUGUAGCGGUGAAAUGCGUAGAUAUCGGAAGGAACAUCAGUGGCGAAGGCGACUUCCUGGACCAAUACUGACGCUCAGGUGCGAAAGCGUGGGGAGCAAACAGG